CGGAGGGUGCAAGCGUUAUCCGGAUUCACUGGGUUUAAAGGGUGUGUAGGCGGGUAUUUAAGUCAGUGGUGAAAUCUCUGAGCUCAACUCAGAAACUGCCAUUGAUACUAUUUAUCUUGAAUAUCGUUGAGGUUGGCGGAAUAUAUCAUGUAGCGGUGAAAUGCAUAGAUAUGAUAUAGAACACCGAUUGCGAAGGCAGCUAACUAAGCGAUGAUUGACGCUGAGGCACGAAAGCGUGGGGAUCAAACAGGAUUAGAUACCCUGGUAGUCCACGCCCUAAACUAUGAUUACUCGACAUACGCGAUACACAGUGUGUGUCUGAGCGAAAGCAUUAAGUAAUCCACCUGGGAAGUACGUCCGCAAGGAUG
rnacentral:rRNA from 1 species